GUAGUUUAAAGUUCUUUGGUGUUUGUUUGGUGUUUAACGAAUUUGAGUUCGAUUAUUGUUUGCUUCUUGGUUUCUUUGUUAGUUUUUUGUAGUGAUACGUUUUAGUGCGAAAUCUUUGACUGCUUUGUGCUCCCACUGUGCGGUCGGUCGGUCGGUCGGUCGGUCAGAAAUUCGAAAUCCAACGCGGCCUACCCCCAUUCUAGAUCUAAUCUAGCGCUAUCCCUAAUCUACCCCACCCCGUCGCGCCUGUGCCGCAAAAACUAACAUCAUCUUCAUCUCCCUCAGCAUGGCAGCACGGUCGUCAAGUGUGCUACGUACUUUGUGCGCUGUUCGAUGUGUACACUGUUCCACCCACUGCCCAACGAUAUCUAAGCUAACGGCCUACCUACUGCUUCCGUUGUACAAGUAGUGGCAUCGUGCCCAUUCCUCCAUCCAUCCUCCUUCCAUUCAUCCUCCUUCCUUUCUUCCGUUGUAUUGCGUUUACUAACCAUUUGCCACCAUCAUUUGCGUUGCUGCUGUGACUCGGUUUGCUUUUGGUUU
rnacentral:lncRNA from 1 species